rnacentral:rRNA from 1 species
UAAGGAAUAUUGCACAAUGGGGGAAACCCUGAUGCAGCAACGCCGCGUGGGCGACGAAGGCCUUCGGGUUGUAAAGCCCUUUUCUGGGGGAAGAGGAAGGACGGUACCCCAGGAACAAGUCUCGGCUAACUACGUGCCAGCAGCCGCGGUAAGACGUAGGAGGCGAGCGUUAUCCGGAUUUACUGGGCGUAAAGGGCAAGUAGGCGGCGGUUCAAGUUGGACGUGACAUCUCCCGGCUCAACUGGGAGGGGUCGUUCAAAACUGGGUCGCUGGAGGGCAGGAGAGGGAAGCGGAAUUCCUGGUGUAGCGGUGGAAUGCUCAGAUACCAGGAGGAACACCAGUGGCGAAGGCGGCUUCCUGGCCUGUACCUGACGCUGAGAGGCGAAAGCCAGGGGAGCGAACGGG